UUUCUCUCUUCAUCCGCUGUCCCUGUCGGUUUUCAUUAUGGCGCCUUGUACUUCUACCCAACGUUGCCCGCCCCCCAUCUUCCCAGCCCACCAGCUCCGUCCGCCUCUCCGGAAGAUUCGUGAGAUACCGAGCCUGCCGGGAAGGGACCGGAUUUUUCCGUCUGGUCCAAGGAAGCACGGGUUAUGGCCACAUGCGCAGUGAUAACUCAGGGCCCCACGCCUUUUGACCCCUGUUGAUGAAGAUUGUGAGGAGGGAGACCAGAAGAUAAUGGACAACGAUACAGCAGAAGGGUCUGGUUACACUUGAGCUUAUUUCUUGGAAGAGUCUGAGAAGGCGGCCUGUCAGGCUCCUAACACUAAGGGCCAUGUAACCAGUGAAGCAGCCAUUAUAUAUGAUUUGGUCUAUACUUGUUGGGUAAGCUUAAGGAUUGUUAACCCUUUUCCUAAGUAGUAUAGCAGAAAUUCAGGUUUGCAUCGUGGCUAGCCAUCUAUAAGCCACCUCCAUAAUUUAUGUCUGAACUAGUUAGCUGUUCACAUCUGGGGCAAAGAUGUGUGCCAUGUUGGCUGGUAUUUGUCAAUUGAACAUUGCAUGAGUACAGACACUGGUCCAUGAUGAAACCCAUUAUCAGUGGACAUCUAUGGAUGAGAAAUGCGGAUAUGGGACUGAGACCAGUUCUUAGGAAAGCCUGAGUUGGGGAAUGAGCCUGAAGGUGGAACUAACAUAGACUUGCACUUCCUUUUCAGAAAAAUUCCACAAGAGGAUCUCCUGGAAGCUAGCAGAAGUUUUUGGCUUGUACAUUGCCAGGCAGCCAUUGGAAUCGGAGCUGCAGUCAGAUUAAGGCCAGCCUGGCCUACAUUGAGAAACCUCAUUUUGGGAAAGUGAAAUACUUUGUCAAUUAACAUGCAGUUGGUUCAAUAAAGACUUUUGGAAAG
ensembl:lincRNA Snhg12 small nucleolar RNA host gene 12